AAAAAAUAUUCAAAAAUUGGAAUUGAAGAAAGAAACUGAUAAUAAUUAACAGAGAUUUUUCCUAGAAUUCACUGGAGAAAGAGAUACCCCAUGAAGUUUCUAAGCCAACAUAACAAGUCUAAUGGAGACUCACGGCCCCCUUUGCAUGCUGUGUUACUUUUAAAUGUUUUUAAUCUAAUCAAAAUGCUCAGUUCUGCACUUGGGUCUAUAUUUUCAAACCAGAAAAACUAAAAUUAGGCUAAUCAUAUUUACUCCAAUGUCUUUACUGAGGAAUUAAUGUUUAUUCUCGAUCACUUUUUAUCCAAAUUCAGUAAUAUGGGAUUACACUUUCACUGGAAUGAAGGUUUAACAAGCACAGGAUAAAAACCUGGAACAUUCAUUAAAUAAUUACAAAAAACACCAUCCCUUUAAGCAGUACCAGACAGCUCCCACGGGGGAUUCAGAGGAAGACCCUGAUGCAAAAUUAGUGGAAAUCCAGCACCAGCACUGAGAAGUAUCGGCCUUGACUCUACACCAUGUACCAGGAAAAAUUAUCUCACAGAACAGAAGUCUCUGUGCUCUCUUCUAUACAUGAGAAGCAUGUUCUUUGCUGGAAAAUCCCACCCCGACUUUGGUCCUUAUGGAUACUUCAUUUGUAGUGCAAAAAAGGUUGCUCCACUUCACCCAGAAAGUGGGUAGUAGAACUCAGCAAUGGGGGGGAUUUGGGUGGUUAGGGCCUCAGGAUAACAUAAAUACUAGCUCUUCUGAAGCACCUUCCACAUGAUGGCAGGCACAAAGAGGGCUGCAAGGAUACAGGAAGGACAAAUUAGAGAAGGGAUCAACUCAGAAACACCACUGCGGUUUGAGCCUUCGUGUGUCUUCCUCCACUACUGAACAUAGCCGUUGCCAUAAGGCAGCUGAGCAGGCUUCCAGCCAGCCCUGUUUAUUUGCCCAGCGUCUAACACAUGAUUUCUGCAAUCGUGUAACUUUAAUCAAAUCUUCAGGAAGAACGUGAAGACCUAACGAGGGAAAAGCAGAGGCACAAUUUUCACUAUGAGUCAAGAAUGGACAAAGAGGGAGAGAGACUACCACUGAAGGCUCCUGACCGAGUGCUAAAACAAUGUCUUGGGAACUGCCUGCAGUCCAGCAGUGCCUUAUGACACUCAGAUAUCAUUUGAGAUAGGCAGUGGACCACAGGAGAAGGGAUGUGCAUCCAGUGAAGAAGAACAGGUUAUUCUCUCCCAUGCAGCAGCCCUAACUUCAGCACCUACUAUAUCAAAUCUCUGAAUUCCCUUAUUUCGGGCAAGCAGGUGAGAGAUUCCAUGUUUUCUGGAGCUUUAAUCAUUUCCACUGCUGUUCUUCCGAUUUUCUUCUGAAAAUGCAAUGCCUCAAAAUGGACAAAAUAUGAGAGACCUUGCUAGUACUGAGCAAAAGGGAAGAAGAACUUGACAAGACAUGCAUGCUGGAUUCCUAUUUUUUAUCCCAGGAUGAUGAUGGCUUUUUUUUUGUUUUGUUUUGUUUUGUUUUUUGGCAGUUUAUAGCCAAAGAAAUUAGACUUCUUUUCCUGGCUCAAUAUGCUGCAGCCCCUCUCAAAUUUGCUUGUUUUCAAAUGUGCUGAACACAGUUUCUAUGCCAUAGUUGAGAUUGUUAAUGAAAACCGACUGGGGUCACUGACACUCAGCUGCUCUUUUUCAAUAUAGUGAAACAUGUCAUUUGAUGGUGGGAAAACACAGAAAGCACAGUUUUCUUUUUUACCUCUGAUUAUAUGUGCCAUCUGUUCUAUGUCUUGGUACUGUUAUUUGUAAAGAAAUUACCUGCAACAGGUCUGCAUUUUUCACAUCCCAAAUUUACCAAAAUGUAAGGUUUGAAGCCUGGCUUUUCCUUUUAUAGAGUUUCAUUUUUAUUUGCUUUGUUUCUCUGUACAGAAUGAGUGCAAUCAAGGGGAAUAUCCAUUAAAGUUAAAGGAGGAAGGGACUUAUUAUAUGAGACAUGAGAAUUAUUUGUUAAAACCACUGUCUUCUCAGUAAAUAUAUCCAAGGCUAUGAAGUGACUUGUUAUAUAAGGAUUCUCUGUCCCUCCAAUUGGCAAGAGUGAAUGUAUCAUAAGAAAUAAAAACAAAACAGAAAGAAUUUUCAGCAAACUAUAGGAAGAAAAAAAUUCUCUUGUAAUUCAAAUGAAUGUCAGGAGGGAAGUCUGCCGUAACAAAUUUAUCUGUAGGUAAAACAAAUGUUUAAAUAUACAGCUGAGUUUUAAAUAUAAAGCAUUGGAAAACAUUUGCUUAAAACAUUUCAUUAAACAUCUCAGUUCAUUUUUCCAUUAUCUUUUCAUAGUUAAAUCAAACUCCCACAGGAAAAAAAGAGUAUAGGAGGCUGUGUUCUUUCUUCCCUAAGUGGACACCUG
ensembl:lncRNA